rfam:Cucumis melo, WGS project CAJI01000000 data, contig: 22155
GUGUUUGAUUAAAGGAGCGAUGGUUGGCAUCUCCCCUCACAAGGUUGGGAACACCCUUCGGGCUUCCCUGUUAACACAUACAGUUAAAUGUGCAAGCAAGCAAGUGCAAUGCCAGCAUCUAUUUUCU